GACGAACGCUGGCGGCGCGCUUAACACAUGCAAGUCGAACGGAAAGGCCUGCUUUCCCUUGUGGAUUGCGGGUACUCGAGUGGCGAACGGGUGAGUAACACGUGAGUGAUCUGCCCCCAACUUGGGUAUAAGCCUGGGAAACUGGGUCUAAUUCCCGAUAGGACUGCAGGGUGGUGCCUGUGGUGGAAAACGAUUUUCUAGUGGUUGGGGAUGAGCUCGCGGCCUAGCAGCUUGUUGGUGGGGUAAUGGCCUACCAAGGCGGCGACGGGUAGCCGGCCUGAGAGGGUGGACGGCCACAUUGGGACUGAGAUACGGCCCAGACUCCUACGGGAGGCAGCAGUGGGGAAUAUUGCACAAUGGGCGGAAGCCUGAUGCAGCGACGCCGCGUGGGGGAUGACGGCCUUCGGGUUGUAAACUCCUUUCGACCGCGAGGAAGCCACCUGGUUGGAAGGGUGGUGACGGUAGUGGUAGAAGAAGCACCGGCUAACUACGUG
rnacentral:rRNA from 1 species